GGCGGAGGGUGCUAGCGUUGUUCGGAAUGACUGGGCGUAAAGGGCGCGUAGGCGGCCGCUUGCGUCGGAUGUGAAAGCCCGGGGCUCAACCCCGGAACGGCAUCCGAUACGGGGCGGCUCGAGACCGAGAGAGGUGAGUGGAAUACCCAGUGUAGAGGUGAAAUUCGUAGAUAUUGGGUGGAACACCGGUGGCGAAAGCGGCUCACUGGCUCGGUUCUGACGCUGAGGCGCGAAAGCGUGGGGAGCAAACAGG
rnacentral:rRNA from 1 species